CCUACGGGCGGCAGCAGUGGGGAAUAUUGCACAAUGGGGGAAACCCUGAUGCAGCGACGCCGCGUGAGUGAAGAAGUAUUUCGGUACGUAAAGCUCUAUCAGCAGGGAAGAAAAAAAGUCCUUUGGACUUUGGACGGUACCUGACCAAGAAGCCCCGGCUAACUACGUGCCAGCAGCCGCGGUAAUACGUAGGGGGCAAGCGUUAUACGGAUUGACUGGGGGUAAAGGGGGCGCCGACGGCUAUGCAAGCCAGGAGGGAAAGCCCGGGGCCCAACCCCGGGACUGCGCUUGGAACUGCGUGGCUGGAGUGCAGGAGGGGCAGGCGGAAGUCCUGGUGUAGCGGUGAAAGGCGUAGAUAUCAGGAGGAACACCGGUGGCGAAGGCGGACUGCUGGACUGCAACUGACGUUGAGGCCCGAAAGCGUGGGGAGCAAACAGGAUUAGAUACCCUUGUAGUC
rnacentral:rRNA from 1 species